rnacentral:rRNA from 1 species
AAGGAUCAUUACCUAGAGUUGUAGGCUUUGCCUACCAUCUCUUACCCAUGUCUUUUGAGUACUUACGUUUCCUCGGUGGGUUCGCCCGCCGAUUGGACAAUUUAAACCAUUUGCAGUUGCAAUCAGCGUCUGAAAAACAUAAUAGUUACAACUUUCAACAACGGAUCUCUUGGUUCUGGCAUCGAUGAAGAACGCAGCGAAAUGCGAUAAGUAGUGUGAAUUGCAGAAUUCAGUGAAUCAUCGAAUCUUUGAACGCACAUUGCGCCCCUUGGUAUUCCAUGGGGCAUGCCUGUUCGAGCGUCAUUUGUACCUUCAAGCUUUGCUUGGUGUUGGGUGUUUGUCUCGCCUUUGCGUGUAGACUCGCCUUAAAACAAUUGGCAGCCGGCGUAUUGAUUUCGGAGCGCAGUACAUCUCGCGCUUUGCACUCAUAACGACGACGUCCAAAAGUACAUUUUUACACUCUUGACCUCGGAUCAGGUAGGGAUACCCGCUGAACUUAA